UUGGUUUUCUUUUAUGCAGACGAUGCACGAUCUAUAUACUCUGCUGCCAAAAUUGUGUCUUGCCAGUCCAUGCUCUAACUUGAACUGCAGAUUACUCGAACUGGCCAAGUGUUGUAGGUUGAUGGAAACUUUGAAGUCUAAUUUUGAGAACACUGGCAGCAGUUGCAGCAUGAGAAAUAUGUUUUAAAAGCUGAGGAAGAAAGGGGUGGGAGAAGAGAAAACAAGAGUUACUUGAUUCUCGCAACAAAAGCAUUACGAUGACAUUUAUUACCAUACGUAUACAUAAUUUACUUCGAAAAUUAUGUAUCGCGUCUCGUUUUAUGUUCUAAACAUAGUUUUAAUAGUUUCUUUUACCAUAUCAAAUUUCAUAUGAAGAUAUUUAUUUAAAAAAUUGACUGCUUAUCGUAAAUAUAUAAUUUAGAAUAUACAGUAUAUUUAAUUAUUAGUUUUUUCUUUAAUACUAUGUUUGAAUAAAAAUUAGUAUCAUUAUAAAAAAUUAAUAAAUUAAAAAAAUAAGUUAUUAUAAUAUCUAAAUUUUUUAAAAAAAAAUUAUGUGAUAUCUAUUUAAUAUAUUUAGGUUUUUUUAAUUAAUUCAAAAAUUUAAAUGAAUAAAUAAUAAUAUUAAUAAAAAAAAUGGGGGAAAAGGGAGGGAAAAAGGGGAAGAGGCUUCUCUCUCUUUUCUGUUCCCCGCUUGCUUCCAUUCAAACCAAGGUACCGAACUCCUUUAGAGCGCUUAACCGUCUUCAUUUAGUGCAGAAAACAACGUUCAGAAGCUGUCAUAAUGCACCAUUCUGCUCUUCUUCUGUGAAUCCUAAGCAUCGUCAUAUUGUAUAUCGACAUAUUUGUCUCUGUAUACGUACAUGAGGUGCUUGAAAGAUGGUCUUAUAUACCACGUCCACGCCAUAAAAGCUGGUAUAAAACCAGCUAUCUUCACCCUGAAUCAACUUGUUCACCUUUACUCCAAACAUGGUCUUUUGCCUGAAGCUCGAAAACUGUUCGAUGAAAUGACUGAGAGGAAUGUUUUCUCCUGGAAUGCUAUAAUCUCCGCCCACAUAAGAUCCCGGGACUUGGCACAAGCGCGUGCAUUAUUCGAUGCUGCUUCUCAAAGAGAUUUAGUUACCUACAACUCAAUGCUGGCCGGUUAUGCCAGCGCUGAUGGUUGCGAGAAUGAUGCAAUUCAGUUUUUCAUGGGAAUGCAAAGAUGCCGUGAAGGAAUUAAAAUUGACGAGUUUACUGUUACCACAAUGCUUAACCUCUGCUCAAGGUUAUUGAUGGUGCGUUAUGGAACACAGUUGCACUGUUUUAUGGUGAAACAGGUAAUGAUUUAAGUGGGUUCGGGGUGAGUUCUCUAGUGGACUUGUAUUCUAAAUGUGGGUGCUUCAAAGAGGUUACUAGGAUGUUUGAUAAUGUUCGUGAAGGGAUAGUUGAUGCGGUGUCUAAGAAUGCAAUGGUGGCGGCAUGUGUAGGCAAGGUGACAUGGAAAUGGCUCUGAAGCUAUUCUGUACGGAUCCAGAGUUGAAUGAUACAGUGUCUUGGAACACGAUAAUUUGGGGUUACGUACAGAAUGGUUAUGAGAAGGAAGCAUUAAGGUUGUUUGUUAGUAUGGCAGAUAAAGGAUUUAGAUGGAAUGAGCACACUUUCGCUACUGUUUUAAGUGCUUGUUCUUCUUUGAGAAAUCUGCAGCUUGGAAAAGAAGUGCAUGCUCUGGUUUUGAAGAAUGGUUUAUAUUCAAAUCCGUUUAUAAGCAGUAGCAUUGUCGAUGUUUACUGCAAGUGUGGAAAUAUGAAGUACGCUGAGUCAGUGCACGUUGCAUAUGGGGUUGGGAACUCUUUUUCAAUCACUUCAAUGAUUGUAGGGUAUUCAUCAGAAGUUAAUAUGGUAGAGGCUCGAAGGGUCUUUGAUUCAUUAUCAGAGAAGAAUUCUGUUGUUUGGACAGCAAUGUUUUCAGGUUAUGUCAAAUCCCAGCAAUGUGAUGCUGUGUUUGAACUCUUAGAUGAAUUCAGAACUAAGGAAGCAAUGGUUCCUGAUGCUUCAAUUGUUAUUAGUCUGCUUGGUGCAUGUGUCCUACAAGCUGCAUUGGAUCCUGGAAAGCAGAUUCAUGCUUACAUAUUGAGAUCAGGGGUAGAGCUGGGUAAAAAGUUGAUGAGUGGAGUUGUUGAUAUGUAUUCAAAAUGUGGAAAUAUAGAAUAUGCUGAAAAGGUCUUUGGGGAGGUUACUGAAAGGGAUACUAUCAUUUACAAUGUAAUCAUAGCUGGUUAUGCCCAUCAUGGGCAGGAUGUUGAAGCCAUCCAACUGUUUGAGCAAAUGUUGGACAAAGGAUUUGAGCCUGAUGAGGCUACUUUUGUUGCAAUCCUAUCAGCUUGUCGACACCGUGGUUUAGUAGAAAUAGGAGAAAAAUACUUCAAUUCCAUGUCAGAAGACUAUAACAUUUUGCCUGAGGCUGACCACUAUGCAUGCAUGAUUGAUCUCUAUGGAAGAGCUAAUCAACUAGAAAAGGCAGUUGCAUUCAUGAAAGCUAGUCCUAUGGAAGAGGACGCUGUAAUCUUGGGAGCAUUUCUGAAUGCUUGCAAGCUAAAUAGGAAUGCUGAACUUGCAAAAGAAGCAGAGGAGAAGCUAUUAAGAUUGGAGGGAUAUAAUGGAGCUCGUUAUGUGCAGUUGGCUAAUGUCUAUGCUGCAGAAGGAAACUGGGCAGAGAUGGGCCGUAUAAGGAAGCAGAUGAGAAGGAAGGAUAUCAGGAAGUUUGCUGGUUGUAGCUGGGUGUAUGUUGACAAUGGGGUUCAUGUAUUUACUUCUAAUGAUAGAUCGCACUUGAGAGCGGAGUUUACAUAUUCAAUGCUAGUCUUGCUGAUUGCAGAACUCCAUGAAAAUCCUGUAUAUUCUUUUGCAGAAGAUGAAAGUCAGCGUACAUGAUUCCCAUAUAAUGCUUCAAGACCUGGGGCAUUAGGAAGUUAUGCUGUCAAUGGGGUAUGGAAAUACCUGAUUAAUCUUGCAGGAAGAUUUUCAGAGCUUGACGAGGUAUGUCAAACCCAUAACAAUUAUGAACCUAACAUAGUGUUUUAUGCAUCCUAUUAAGAUACUGUAGAGUUGAAGGUUGCUUUGCAAGGGGCUCCAUUACCUCUACAUAGAAAAGUUAAAGAAAAUGAAUUCUUUUUUCCUUCUAUUGUAGUUAUUUGAGUAGUUUUGUUUGUCAUUGUCAUAAUCACCUAUCAUCUUCCUCUUAGGUCUUUUCUGGCGAACACCUAACAUCUCUUAUCAGGUAGCAUUCUCCUUCUCUUCCCUGGAAUUGGUCUUGACUCUUCACUAAUGCUUUUAUGAAAAAGAAAAAACCGAAGAAUAUGGCAUCUCUUGGGCUUUCUGAAUGCUUAUUGAUUUUUAGUUUUUCAUUUUUUUUGUCUGAAAUAUUCUUUCUAUAUCUGCAUUUCUAGUAGAAAGUUUAACGGGUGGAGGAGAGGAUCGAGGAUCUCUGGCUCUUCUUAGAACAGUUGCAUAAUGAUCCAAGUAUGGAUGAGGAAUUGAACUAUCCCGAUACUACGACAGGAAAUAUAGAGGACAUGUGCCUAAAUCUGAUAUCUCUUUGGUAAGAAAUUAAUUUUCACUUAAAUGAACUAUUAUCUAAAGAUAUUUUAAGUUAAUGAACUAUUAUCUAAGGAUAUUUUCAGUUUCUAUUAUCCUUUAUUUUUUAACAGCUUUUUUUUUACCCAGUGCUUCCAAUAAACAUUGUUAACCUUACCAUUUUGUAACAGUAUCCUUCAUCUAAACUAGUUAUACUAUCACUAUGUAUCAUGCAGCAUUUUUCAGAUGCUGCUGCAGGAUAAAUUACUGAAAGAAGCAUAAUAAUUCUCAUCAUGAAGGAAAUGAGCCUUUUGGGGAAGCAGUUCAAGAACAUACAGGAUACUAUCAAACUCCUCUGUCCGGGUAAUAUCUCAUAUUUCUACUGCUAAAAUUUAAGGAUGGCUCAAGGAAAGAUCUCCCAACUGGCAAUGCUGUCUCCCAUUUCCAUAUACUGCUCAACCCAGGUUCAAUUCUAACACUUUCUCCUCUCUCCACUGCAAUUAUAAGCCAAUUUAUGUGUAAAACGGUUUUUAGGAAGCUUAUUAAGUUAAAAACUAUAAAAGAUAAUACAAGGAGAGAUAGCUUAUAGUUUUUUCAUUUAUUAAUCUUUUCAUAGGAUAGUAUAACUUAAAACUUUUUCAUUUAAGGUGAAGUAAAUUAGAUUAACUGAACUAGUUAAUAUUUAAGAAAAACUUACCGCUCUUUUUGACAUAAUUGCCAAAGUCCAAGAAAACACAUAGCGGGCUUUAAGUAAGAAAUAGAACCCAGCAGAGGAUCGUCCAGGUCCAAUCCAUUGGCAUUACCUCUGAUAGAAG
rnacentral:lncRNA from 1 species